rnacentral:rRNA from 1 species
UACGAAGGGGGCUAGCGUUGUUCGGAAUUACUGGGCGUAAAGCGCGCGCAGGCGGUCUUCCAAGUCAGUGGUGAAAGCCUGGAGCUCAACUCCAGAACUGCCAUUGAAACUGUUAGACUUGAGUACGGGAGAGGUGAGUGGAAUUCCCAGUGUAGAGGUGAAAUUCGUAGAUAUUGGGAAGAACACCAGUGGCGAAGGCGGCUCACUGGCUCGUAACUGACGCUCAGGCGCGACAGCGUGGGGAUCAAACAGG